ACGGAGGGUGCGAGCGUUAAUCGGAAUUACUGGGCGUAAAGCGCUCGUAGGCGGUAUGUCAAGUCAAGGGUGAAAUCCCCGCGCUCAACGUGGGAACUGCCUUUGAAACUGGCAAACUGGAGUGCGUGAGAGGACAGUGGAAUUCCAGGUGUAGGAGUGAAAUCCGUAGAUAUCUGGAGGAACAUCAGUGGCGAAGGCGACUGUCUGGCACGUAACUGACGCUGAGGAGCGAAAGCGUGGGUAGCAAACAGG
rnacentral:rRNA from 1 species